UACGUAGGGUGCGAGCGUUAAUCGGAAUUACUGGGCGUAAAGCGUGCGCAGGCGGUUUUGUAAGCCAGAUGUGAAAUCCCCGGGCUUAACCUGGGAAUGGCAUUUGGGACUGCAAGGCUUGAGUGCGGCAGAGGAGACUGGAAUUCCUGGUGUAGCAGUGAAAUGCGUGGAUAUCAGGAGGAACACCGAUGGCGAAGGCAGGUCUCUGGGCUGACACUGACGCUCAUGCACGAAAGCGUGGGGAGCAAACAGG
rnacentral:rRNA from 1 species